GGUGGCGAGCGGCGGGCAGCGGGCGGGUCGGGCUCUGGCCCCGCGGGCGCUGUGCUUGGCGGGGAAACUUCUCUUCCUUUCCUGGGGAGGAAAAAAAAGAGAGAGAGAGAGAGAGAAAAUCAAGUCGCAGCCGGCUUGGGCCGGUGUUGCGGGCGGGCGUGGGAGACGCUGAGGCUGCGAGGGCUUCCCCAGCUGUUUCCAACUGACCCAAGUGUGAAGUGAGGUGUGAACAGGCAGGCCUCUGACUGAGCCCGAGCCCACGGACUGCCCAGGAGAGAGGCCCUUGAGGACCUGGCCUGCAACAGACUGGCUGGAGGGUCCCCCACUGACUGAGGCCGUCCUGCCCGAAAGUCAGGAAACACAGGGGCCCUGGUUGUGUAAUAAGAGUACAUUUGAAAAAUGCCUUGUCCUUAUCUGAAAACCCAGAUGGAAGAAUACCAGCCCUGAAGUUGCUUUUCUUAAAACUGGAAUGAAAGAUUUAUGAAAUUCUCUACCUAGGAGGAGUUAGAGGAAGACUUUCUGGCUAAGUAGAAGUAGAACCUGACACCAUUGACUCCUGGGAACGUGGAAGGAGUUGCUGCUCUAUGAAUUCCAUAAUUUUCUCAGGGUGUCUGUCUUUUUCUCCUAACUGCCUGCUUCUACUUAGAAAAUUCAAGCCUUCAGAUGCUGUUGCACUUAUCACUUUGCUCAAGCUUCUCCAAAGCUCCCCACUAUCAAAGGACUUAAACUUCAAGCUUCCUUCUUUCCUUGUCUACUCUUCCUUCACUGUAGGAUGUCUCCCUCACCCCCUGAAAAUCCCCUCUAUACAUCCUGUCAUCUCUGUUAUUAUUUAUAUCCUGUUAUUAUUUAUAUCUGUUAUUAUUUAUAUCCUGAUUCUGCCCUGAGUGACCCUAAAAAUCCAAAGACUCCCAUAUGUAAAAAUAUCCCUCAGAGUUGAGCAAAGAUCAGCUCCUGAAAGAGAAAUUUUGGUGACAAAGGGACUAUAAAAAGUCCAUCAGACAAAUUCUUUAAAAAUAUGAAUAUCAAAAUGAUUACAGAAAUGCUGAGGGAUUUUUAUAGAUUCAAGGAGUCUAAGGAGAUAUGAUAACUCAAUAGAAUAUCAGAUCCUAGACUAGAUCGUGUACUGGAGAAAUGCUCUAAAGGAUAUUACUGGCUAAACUGACAUCACUGAAAUACAGUAGACAAAAUUCUAUGUUAUUGUUCAAAUUACCAAAGUUUAUAACUAUCCUGGAGAUAGGAAACAGAAUAUCCUUGCUCUUAGGAAAUAUUCACUGAAAAAUUUAGGGGCAAAGUGUAAUGAUAUAUGCAACUUACUCCCAAACAUUUAGGAAAAGAUAUGUAUAUGGGUAGAGAGAGCAAAGGAAACAAAAUGCUAAAACUAGGUGAACCCGGGCCAUCGGAUUAGCAGUGUUCUUGCAACUUUUCUGUAAAUUUGAUUAUUUUUCUAAAUACAAUUUAAAAAAAAAUGGCCAAUGCCUCUGUUUCCCUGAAUUUUCUCUCCUUUGAGAUUCUCUGCCUUCAAUCACAUAGCCCCCACACGUAUGCUGUUCCACCUUCAAAACAGUUGUACCAUGCACCAUCUCAGUGAAGACCAGCAGGAUACACUUAUCACAACUGAGGUCCUAAUGUUUCUGUUUACAGAAUAUAGAAAAAGAGCACAAGGGAAAAUGAAAUAAAAACACACAUAAUGUACAAAAAUAUAAAAUUAAUACAGAAAUAUGAAGAAUUAUGUUUAUAACAUGGAGGUUUCAGGAACUGAGAAUCAAGAGUGUAGGUUUUGGAAUCAGUCACAGCUGAGUUCUAAUCUUUGCUCUGUCCACUAACAACCAUGUGAU